AUUGAACGCUGGCGGCAGGCCUAACACAUGCAAGUCGAACGGUAACAGGAAACAGCUUGCUGUUUCGCUGACGAGUGGCGGACGGGUGAGUAAUGUCUGGGAAACUGCCUGAUGGAGGGGGAUAACUACUGGAAACGGUAGCUAAUACCGCAUAACGUCGCAAGACCAAAGAGGGGGACCUUCGGGCCUCUUGCCAUCAGAUGUGCCCAGAUGGGAUUAGCUAGUAGGUGGGGUAACGGCUCACCUAGGCGACGAUCCCUAGCUGGUCUGAGAGGAUGACCAGCCACACUGGAACUGAGACACGGUCCAGACUCCUACGGGAGGCAGCAGUGGGGAAUAUUGCACAAUGGGCGCAAGCCUGAUGCAGCCAUGCCGCGUGUAUGAAGAAGGCCUUCGGGUUGUAAAGUACUUUCAGCGGGGAGGAAGGGAGUAAAGUUAAUACCUUGGCUCAUUGACGUUACCCGCAGAAGAAGCACCGGCUAACUCCGUG
rnacentral:rRNA from 1 species